rnacentral:rRNA from 1 species
AGGGUUCUGUCUCAUAUAGGAAGACCCGAUCUUCUGUUGUAGCAGCAGCUUCAUUAGGCUGUUGGUGAUUUUUGGGAGAGGGCGCCCCCCCAGCGACG